UACGUAGGGUCCGAGCGUUGUCCGGAAUUAUUGGGCGUAAAGGGCUCGUAGGCGGUUCGUCGCGUCGGGAGUGAAAACUCGGAGCUCAACUCCGAGCCUGCUUCCGAUACGGGCAGACUAGAGGUAUGCAGGGGAGAACGGAAUUCCUGGUGUAGCGGUGGAAUGCGCAGAUAUCAGGAGGAACACCGGUGGCGAAGGCGGUUCUCUGGGCAUUACCUGACGCUGAGGAGCGAAAGUGUGGGGAGCGAACAGG
rnacentral:rRNA from 1 species